GAUGAACGCUGGCGGCGUGCCUAAUACAUGCAAGUCGAGCGAAUGGAUUAAGAGCUUGCUCUUAUGAAGUUAGCGGCGGACGGGUGAGUAACACGUGGGUAACCUGCCCAUAAGACUGGGAUAACUCCGGGAAACCGGGGCUAAUACCGGAUAAUAUUUUGAACUGCAUGGUUCAAAAUUGAAAGGCGGCUUCGGCUGUCACUUAUGGAUGGACCCGCGUCGCAUCAGCUAGUUGGUGAGGUAACGGCUCACCAAGGCAACGAUGCGUAGCCGAGCUGGGAGGGUGAUCGGCCACACUGGGACUGAGACACGGCCCAGACUCCUCCGGGAGGCAGCAGUAGGGAAUCUUCCGCAAUGGGCGAAAGUCUGACGGAGCAACGCCGCGUGAGUGAUGAAGGCUUUCGGGUCGUAAAACUCUGUUGUUAGGGAAGAACAAGUGCUAGUUGAAUAAGCUGGCACCUUGACGGUACCUAACCAGAAAGCCACGGCUAACUACGUGCCAGCCGCCGCAGUAA
rnacentral:rRNA from 1 species